GACGAACGCUGGCGGCGUGCUUAACACAUGCGAGUCGAACGGAAAGGCCCUGCUUUUGUGGGGUGCUCGAGUGGCGAACGGGUGAGUAACACGUGAGUAACCUGCCCUUGACUUUGGGAUAACUUCAGGAAACUGGGGCUAAUACCGGAUAGGAGCUCCUGCUGCAUGGUGGGGGUUGGAAAGUUUCGGCGGUUGGGGAUGGACUCGCGGCUUAUCAGCUUGUUGGUGGGGUAGUGGCUUACCAAGGCUUUGACGGGUAGCCGGCCUGAGAGGGUGACCGGCCACAUUGGGACUGAGAUAUGGCCCAGACUCCUACGGGAGGCAGCAGUGGGGAAUAUUGCACAAUGGGCGGAAGCCUGAUGCAGCAACGCCGCGUGCGGGAUGACGGCCUUCGGGUUGUAAACCGCUUUCGCCUGUGACGAAGCGUGAGUGACGGUAAUGGGUAAAGAAGCACCGGCUAACUACGUG
rnacentral:rRNA from 1 species